CUGAUCCAGCGACGCCGCGUGUGUGAAGAAGGCCUGCGGGUUGUAAAGCACUUUUAGUGGGGAUGAAAAGCUCAGGGAUAACACCUCUGGGUCUUGACCUAACCCACAGAAAAAGCACCGGCUAACUCUGUGCCAGCAGCCGCGGUAAUACAGAGGGUGCAAGCGUUAAUCGGAAUUACUGGGCGUAAAGCGCGCGUAGACGGUUACUCAAGUCGGGUGUGAAAGCCCCGGGCUCAACCUGGGAAUUGCAUUCGAGACUGCGUAGCUAGGGUGCGGAAGAGGGAAGUGGAAUUUCCGGUGUAGCGGUGAAAUGCGUAGAUAUCGGAAGGAACAUCAGUGGCGAAAGCGACUUCCUGGUCCAGCACCGACGUUCAGGCGCGAAAGCGUGGGGAGCAAACAGGAUUAGAUACCCUGGUAGUCCACGCCAUAAACGAUGAGGACUAGACGUUGAGAGGGUAAGCCUCGCAGUGUCGCAGCUAACGCGUUAAGUCCUCCGCCUG
rnacentral:rRNA from 1 species